CUGACCUUAGCUCAGUUGGUAGAGCGGAGGAUUGUAGUUGGAGUAAUAAUUUGAGCUGAUAUCCUUAGGUCGCUGGUUCGAAUCCGGCAGGUCGGA
rnacentral:tRNA from 1 species